rnacentral:rRNA from 1 species
CCUACGGGUGGCAGCAGUGGGGAAUAUUGGGCAAUGGAGGAAAGCCUGACCCAGCAACGCCGCGUGAAGGAUGAAGGCUUUCGGAUUGUAAACUUCUGUCGCGAGGGAAGAAGAAUGACGGUAACUCGUCAGAAAGCCCAGGCAAACCAAGUGCCAACAGCCGCGGUAAUACGUAGGGGGCGAGCGUUGGCCGGAAUGACUGGGCGUAAAGGGAGUGUAGGCGGGAUGUGAAGGUAUGUGUGAAAACCCGCGGCUCAACCGCGGAAUUGCACUUGAAACUGUUGAUCUUGAGUGCAGGAGAGGUAAGCGGAAUUCCUGGUGUAGCGGUGAAAUGCGUAGAUAUUGGGAGGAACACCAGUGGCGAAGGCGGCUUACUGGACUGCAACUGACGCUGAGGCGCGAAAGCGUGGGGAGCAAACAGGAUUAGAUACCCGAGUAGUC